rnacentral:rRNA from 1 species
GAUGAACGCUGGCGGCGUGCCUAAUACAUGCAAGUCGAGCGAACGGACGAGAAGCUUGCUUCUCUGAUUUUAGCGGCGGACGGGUGAGUAACACGUGGAUAACCUACCUAUAAGACUGGGAUAACUUCGGGAAACCGGAGCUAAUACCGGAUGAUAUUUUGAACCGCAUGGUUCAAAAGUGAAAGACGGUCUUGCUGUCACUUAUAGAUGGAUCCGCGCUGCAUUAGCUAGUUGGUAAGGUAACGGCUUACCAAGGCAACGAUGCAUAGCCGACCUGAGAGGGUGAUCGGCCACACUGGAACUGAGACACGGUCCAGACUCCUACGGGAGGCAGCAGUAGGGAAUCUUCCGCAAUGGGCGAAAGCCUGACGGAGCAACGCCGCGUGAGUGAUGAAGGUCUUCGGAUCGUAAAACUCUGUUAUUAGGGAAGAACAUAUGUGUAAGUAACUGUGCACAUCUUGACGGUACCUAAUCAGAAAGCCACGGCUAACUACGUG